GCAAGUCUUGGGAGAAAGUUUCUUCGGAAACGAGUAAACCGGCGCACGGGUGCGUAACACGUGGGUAAUCAACCCUUUAGUCUGGAAUAACUCGCCGAAAGGCGUGCUAAUGCUAGAUGGUUAGAUACUUCCUGAGGGUGGUAUCUAUAAAGACGGUUUCGGCUGUCGCUAGAGGACGAGCCCGCGGCCCAUUAGCUAGUAGGUGGGGUAAUGGCCUACCUAGGCUACGAUGGGUAGCUGGUCUGAGAGGAUGAUC
rnacentral:rRNA from 1 species